CUUCGACUGUGGGGGAGUGAAAGACAGAAGACAGAUGCAUUGGCUGCCAGCUAAUCUUGACAUCCACUUUUUCUUUCCUCACCCUGGCAGCCAGCAGUUGCAGACACGUGUACAGGAACCAACCAGGGAAGUCUUAUGGCCUUUGACCUGGAGAGAGGUGCCCACAGUAAUCCCUUCUGCCUUUAAAAACUCCACACCAUCCUCCAUCUCCUGAGACACCCUACCCUCAAGAGAGCUGUGAAUGAUUACUAACAUUGCAAGGAUGAUCUUUAAAGUUAAACUAUAUGGCAGUGACCGGUCAUAGACAGCCUGGUGAUAGUGCCUGGCUCUUUUCAGUAGCAGCUAGAGCUUGGUCUUAAUGUUGCAGCUGGUCUAAUCCAACAGGCAAAGGAAAGGACUGGAGCCAACACAGAAAACAAGGGUCAUGAGCCAAAACCUGGAACUAGGUAAAAAGAACAAGGGUUUUGUCCAAAACCCCUGAUUUCAGUCAUUAGUUGGCAUAGAGAUUACAGGUUUAAACAGAGCAGCCGGUCCCAGGGACAGUCACCCUCACACUUGCAAGGGGCCAUCUGAGAGGACCUGCCUGUCCAUCAGAUGCUGGCAGACCUCACCAGUGUUGCUUCACA
rnacentral:lncRNA from 1 species